rnacentral:rRNA from 1 species
UAAAAAAUUUUGGCGGUAUUUUAAGCUUAUUAGAGGAAUUUGCUCUGUGAUGGACACAACGCCUUAAUCUUACUUAAUUUAGUAAUUUAAAUCAGUUUGUAUACCACUAUAUUAAUUAUAUUGAAUAGUUAUAUUUAAAAUUUUUUUUAAAAAAAAUAUAUUAAGUCAAGGUGCAUCUAAUAAUUAUGAAUGAAGUGAAUUACAUUAAUUUUAAUGUAAUUUUUUACAUGAAAAAAUUAAUUAGGAUUUAAUAGUAAAAUACUAAUAUUAUGAGUAUUUGAAUCAAGCUCUAAAAUAUGCACAUAUCGCCCGUCGCUCUCAGAAGUGAGAUAAGUCGUAACAAAGUAAAAAUACUGGAAAGUGUUUUUUAAAAUGAAAUCAUUCGAUGUUUCAUUUACAAUGAAAAUUUUGUUGUUUAACCAUUUUAA